rnacentral:rRNA from 1 species
UUGAUUGAUGGUGCUUGCACCUGAUUGAUUUUGGUCGCCAACGAGUGGCGGACGGGUGAGUAACACGUAGGUAACCUGCCCAGAAGCGGGGGACAACAUUUGGAAACAGAUGCUAAUACCGCAUAACAACGUUGUUCGCAUGAACAACGCUUAAAAGAUGGCUUCUCGCUAUCACUUCUGGAUGGACCUGCGGUGCAUUAGCUUGUUGGUGGGGUAAUGGCCUACCAAGGCGAUGAUGCAUAGCCGAGUUGAGAGACUGAUCGGCCACAAUGGGACUGAGACACGGCCCAUACUCCUACGGGAGGCAGCAGUAGGGAAUCUUCCACAAUGGGCGCAAGCCUGAUGGAGCAACACCGCGUGAGUGAAGAAGGGUUUCGGCUCGUAAAGCUCUGUUGUUAAAGAAGAACACGUAUGAGAGUAACUGUUCAUACGUUGACGGUAUUUAACCAGAAAGUCACGGCUAACUACGUGCCAGCAGCCGCGGUAAUACGUAGGUGGCAAGCGUUAUCCGGAUUUAUUGGGCGUAAAGAGAGUGCAGGCGGUUUUCUAAGUCUGAUGUGAAAGCCUUCGGCUUAACCGGAGAAGUGCAUCGGAAACUGGAUAACUUGAAUGCAGAAGAGGGUAGUGGAACUCCAUGUGUAGCGGUGGAAUGCGUAGAUAUAUGGAAGAACACCAGUGGCGAAGGCGGCUACCUGGUCUGCAACUGACGCUGAGACUCGAAAGCAUGGGUAGCGAACAGGAUUAGAUACCCUGGUAGUCCAUGCCGUANACGAUGAGUGCUAGGUGUUGGAGGGUUUCCGCCCUUCAGUGCCGGAGCUAACGCAUUAAGCACUCCGCCUGGGGAGUACGACCCGCAGGUUGAAACUCAAAGGAAUUGACGGGGG